rnacentral:rRNA from 1 species
AUUGAACGCUGGCGGCAGGCCUAACACAUGCAAGUCGAGCGAGCGGCGGACGGGUGAGUACUGUAUGGGGACUGCCCGAUAGAGGGGGAUAACUACUGGAAAACGUCGCUAAUACCGCAUACUAUCCGAUAACCCAUAUGGGAUUAGCUAGUAGGUGAGGUAAUGGCUCACCUCGGCUACGAUCCAUAGCUGGUCUGAGAGGAUGAUCAGCCACACGGGGACUGAGACACGGCCCAGACUCCUACGGAGGCAGCAGUGGGGAAUAUUGCACAAUGAGCGCAAGCCUGAUGCAUCCAUGCCGCGGGUAUGAAGAAGGCCCUAGGGUUGAAAAGUACUUUCAGUCGGGAGGCGUUACCGACAGAAGAAGCACCGGCUAACUCCGUGCCAGCAGCCGCGGUAAUAC